AAGCGGCUUUAGCCUUGGCGCGGCUUUCACACCCUUGUGCCGUGUGCCAUCUUGGUGCGCCUCGAGA